rnacentral:SRP_RNA from 1 species
GCCGGGCGCAGUGGCUCACGCCUGUAAUCCCAGCACUUUGGGAGGCAGACACGGGUGGAUCACCUGAGAUCAGGAGUUCGCGACCAGCCUGGUCAACAUGGUGAAACCCCGUGUCUA